ensembl:ncRNA lncRNA:CR45364 long non-coding RNA:CR45364
GUGGUAUUCAAAUGGUCCAUUUCACCGACACCACAGCACAGACAGCCAUAGCCAGCCGCACAUAUCCCAGCAGCGCGGAGGAAGACCAUAACAAUUGAGUGCUGGGCUCCAGUUAACGUUAACCAAAGUCGUAGCACCAAGGACUGGGGCAUUUAUUGACGCCCGCAAUGUCAACAAUUGCAGCCAUGACGACGGCAGUCCCAACAGCAACUACUAACAGCAACAGUGCGGUAACAAAGUUUUUGAACUAAGAGAUACCCUGUAAUCAAAUAACAAAAUACUGCUAUAUGAAAAUAUUAGAAAUCUUAAACUGUUUAUGUUUAGAUUCUGUAUUAUGAUUAUAGCAAGGGACAGGACACAUUUCUUGUAAAUAAAAAACCGAUGAUUAUC